GAUGAACGCUGGCGGCGUGCUUAACACAUGCAAGUCGAACGGAAAGGCCCUGCUUUUGUGGGGUGCUCGAGUGGCGAACGGGUGAGUAACACGUGAGUAACCUGCCCUUGACUUUGGGAUAACUUCAGGAAACUGGGGCUAAUACCGGAUAGGAGCUCCUGCUGCAUGGUGGGGGUUGGAAAGUUUCGGCGGUUGGGGAUGGACUCGCGGCUUAUCAGCUUGUUGGUGGGGUAGUGGCUUACCAAGGCUUUGACGGGUAGCCGGCCUGAGAGGGUGACCGGCCACAAUGGGACUGAGAUACGGCCCAGACUCCUACGGGAGGCAGCAGUGGGGAAUAUUGCACAAUGGGCGGAAGCCUGAUGCAGCAACGCCGCGUGCGGGAUGACGGCCUUCGGGUUGUAAACCGCUUUCGCCUGUGACGAAGCGUGAGUGACGGUAAUGGGUAAAGAAGCACCGGCUAACUACGUG
rnacentral:rRNA from 1 species